CCUACGGGUGGCAGCAGUGGGGAAUAUUGGACAAUGGGCGAAAGCCUGAUCCAGCCAUGCCGCGUGUGUGAAGAAGGCCUUCGGGUUGUAAAGCACUUUCAGUGGGGAAGAAAGCCUUGGGGCUAAUACCCUCGAGGAAGGACAUCACCCACAGAAGAAGCACCGGCUAGCUCCGUGCCAGCAGCCGCGGUAAUACGGAGGGUGCGAGCGUUAAUCGGAAUUACUGGGCGUAAAGCGCGCGUAGGCGGUCUGAUAAGCCGGUUGUGAAAGCCCCGGGCUCAACCUGGGAACGGCAUCCGGAACUGUCAGGCUAGAGUGCAGGAGAGGAAGGUAGAAUUCCCGGUGUAGCGGUGAAAUGCGUAGAGAUCGGGAGGAAUACCAGUGGCGAAGGCGGCCUUCUGGACUGACACUGACGCUGAGGUGCGAAAGCGUGGGUAGCAAACAGGAUUAGAUACCCGGGUAGUC
rnacentral:rRNA from 1 species